CUGAAUGAUGCUCAUGCUAGGGCAGUUGUCCCUGACGGUCUAUUAAAAAAGUUACCUUGGGUCUGAAGUACUGACCAUUAUUUUAAUAACAGGCAAUACAAUUAUUUUUACCUUAACUUUUUUUAAUAAUGCAAAACAACAACCAUGUAAAUGGUAGGGCACUUAUAUAGUUGUUUCGAUUGGUUUAUGUUUUUUUGGUUGCAAUGCAAUUGGCGUUUGCCAGUAAAAACGACAUAUAUUAUGCAAUUUUAACACGCUCCCUUAACUGAGAACACACGGAGAAACCGCAAUAUACAUGGCUGUUCCGUCUUUUUAAAAUGUAACCGAACAGAGGAAACAGGGAGUGUUGCUUGUUCUGUAUCGCCAACAGAUUCAGAAUAUGCAAUUGCUGUCUUUCUGGCAGGUUUCGUGGAUGAGUGUUGAGCAGCUGCAGGGAUAUAUCUUUAUUCAGAGCAACCUCCGAAGCAGAAUGCGGCGCUAAUGCGCAUACUACACUGAUUCCUUACCACUGUUUGGAAAAAAACAGAACAGAUUGUAAUCGGUCGCAGAAGGCGGGAAGCAACAGAAGGCGUAGAAAGUUACUACCUACGCGGCAACAGUCAGCAUCACUGGACUUAAUUUUCAGAUCAGUUUAUGCCUUUGCAUCUCUGUGUUCAAGUUUCAAGAAGUUAAGACAGAGUUAAGGAAGAUAACUGGAGAUGUGAAAAAGAUACCAGGUUUCUGGUUCCAAAAUGAUCUGGAAGUGACAAGUCUGAUGAGCCAGAGCUUGAUGCUGUUGCAGUGGGCCUCCUUACUGUCAUCAGUGACCAUGACACAAGUCCAGCUCACUACCACCCUGUGAGAAUCUCUGUUGUUGUUGAAAGUGAUGCCGUGGUCAGCCUCCCCAGACUUGGUGAUGCCUUCCUGGUAAUCUUUGGACUGAUCUUUGCACUACACCUCAGCUAUCCCAUAGCACUGACAAACACUUUUGAAUUCACUCAAAAGAUUUUACUUGGUCUAGAUAGUGGUAAACUGUCACCCAGUUUGCAGACCCUCAAGAAUGACUUGUAGAAACUCAUCUGAAAGAAGGCUAAAGCAUUAUAAAAGGCUAGUUGAAAGUUAUGUCCUUUUGUCUAAAUAAUGCCUCAAAAAGAUACUGCACUACUUUGCAGGUGUUCAGCCAAUAGGCACAAACUACACAAUAUGCCUUUGUUCUCAUUAAUAUGAUGCAAAGGUAAUGCUAAUGUUUUGUAUGUUUUAAUGUUUUUCUCAACCAUUGUGGCCUGCGCAGGAUGACCCUCAUUUCACUGUGCUUUUGAUACUGGUUAAUGUAAUAAAUUUACAUUUUAGAGUUUCAAGUGAAAAUGUUAUUACAGUCUAUAGAAUUUUUGUAAUUUCAUCCAAAUGCCCUGUUGUCUUACUCAGGAAUUUGCCAGGAAGCCAAAAGCACAGUUUUUUCAUUUAUAGCUGUAAUGAAAUAAUUAAAUUUUGGUAUUAUUUGAUAUUGUUUAUUAUUGUUUUUGAUUACUCCGAUUAUUUUCCUGACUAUCUGAUUAGUUGUCUGGUCAAUAUCAGAAAUGUGUAAUAAAUACCUAUUUCCUAGGGCCUUAAGUGACCAGGAACUCAUUUGAAAGGCUAGAAUCAGAAUUUUGAGUUUCUUCAUAAAAUAUAUUUUGUUAUUAUUAUUAAAUUACUAUUUAUUUUUAUUUAUAAAUGUUUAUUUUUCUAUUUCAUUUUAACAUUGCAGUGUGCUAAGAGCGAGCAGGCAAGAAAAUACUGUUCAAUAGCAGACGUUCAUGACUUUUAGAAAUAUUAAAUUUGUUAAACUCAAUGUAAUUGAGGCAAUUAUGUAAACAAACUCAACAUAUUUGACUAAUGUGUACUUAAA